GGCUCCGUUUCCCUCCUCGCUCCGCUCUCGCCGUGCAGUGCUGCGUGGCGCCGGCAGCCCGAGCAGAGGGAGCUCCAGCCCCACGCAGCCGCUCCGGCCGCCGCCAGCAGCUCGGAGCCCCCAUCUGCAGGGCGGGUGGUGCUGGGGGGAGGCGAGGGGAAAAUAAAAUAAAGGCAACACCCGGGUCAAUGCUCGGCUCCGCUCGCCGCCAGCACCUCGCUCAGUGAACUGGAAGAUGGAGAUGGAUGUUAAGGGAGUUUCUCCGUGCCCGGAGCCCAUCCCCCCGGCGGCGGGGGCUGGCGGCUGCCCGCACCAGCGCCCGCACCACCGCGAUGGGCAGCCCGCCGAGCCGGCCCCCGCCGCCGACAGCGGCCACCCGGAGCGGCGGCACAGCAGCGACAAAGAGGACAAGAAGGCAUCUACACUGAAACUGUCUGGAUUUCAUUGGGCAUGGUGCCUGGUGGUGGCUGAAAUCUUCUGAAAUACAUUCUAGAGGAGGCAGCAGACCUGUGGCUAUGGCUCCUUUGCGCAUAAAUGUUAUUGUGUGUUUGUUUGACCAUGGUAGGAUAUUUAAUGUGUCAUAGAAACACAUUUUGUAUGCUCAGACUCAGUGUCAGUACCACCACAGAACUUUUCAGCCAAAUGUAUUUUCCCUCAUUUGACCCUUAAAAAAAAAAAAAAAAAAAAGAAAGAAAAAGAAAAAAAAAAAAAAAAAAAAAAAAAAAAGCACAACCCCAGACUUUGAGAAAAUGUAAUUUCCUGUGAAAAAUGUACCCUACUGUCUUCUUCUGGGGGAAAAGGGAACUUUGUUAUAUCCAUUGUUGUAAGUGAAAUCCAGUGUACAGCAUGCUAAGUAAUUGCUCAGUUAAAUGUCAGUGUGAAUCCAGAAAUCCUCAGUAGAGUAAAAAAUAAAAAUAUUUAUUUUCUCUAAAAGCUUCCCUGUAAAAUUAUUCCAAAGAUUUUCUUCAUCAGACAGCACAGAACAAACAGAUGUGUGCCUCUUCACUUCUCAGCCUGGUGGUGGGAUUGUUGGGAAUUUUGGCCAAGCGCUCUGAAAAUAUUCUGAGUUUCCAAACAGAUGAAACCCACCUGGCUAACCAAGGAUGUGCCUCAUCUUUGGUGAGCUGGAAACCUGCCUCCAAUGGAACUGCAAAGACAACUGGUGCACACCUUCACCACCCACAGGGUCUGGGCAGGAAGUUGGAUAAAGCUGUUCAGCUGAAGUAGUUAGUUGUUUUCUUCCUCUUUCACGUGCAGUGACAUCUUGCCUUUUGAAGUAUACAUCAUUUUUUUUCUUCAACGUUAUGUUACCUGUGCUUUCCAUUUUCAUUCUGGUUUGUAUAAUUUUCUUCUUUCACACUCUUGAUUUUUCAAACACCAUUUCCUUUUUCUUUUUUCCAGUCUUUCAAAUGAGCUGUUUGGUCUUCCAUAUACAUAAUUUUCUAGAUUUGCCUUAAAAAUAGUAGAGGAAAGCUUGUACGGCAGAAUAGCAUUUGCAGUACAGCGCGUCAUCCUGUAAACAGACUAAGCAAGGCAUUAUUCACAAGGAGGUGAGGUAAUAUUCAUUGCUGCAAAGUUCUUAACUGUUCAUUCUUAACUCUGGAUGCCUGGGUUCCCUUUUAUGGAGUGCCUGUUUACUCUUGUAUAUUUUUAUAGAGUAAAAGGCUGGUGUGGAGAAUGAGGGUGUUAUGUGCAGUAAAGUUAUAAAUAACAUUGGCUCUCAGGUUAUUUGCAUUAUAUCCACUUGCCAGAAUGUGUAACAUUAAAUAUAAAACAAACAGAAAAAACCCUUAAAAAUAUUUUAAAAAUGUACACACAUACAAAAAUAAAACAGAACAAUGGAUGGCUUGGAUAAGAGAUCUAAAGGAAAUGCUGGGGAAUAUAUUUCUUGGGGAGUAUUCCCUACCUAGUUAAUAACCCAGGCAGAAGAUUGCUUACUCCUCCCACAGCCUCAGAUCAAACGGAAUAAUAAAGCCAUAAAGAUGCUGGCAUAAGGAAGAAGGAGGGUUACUCAGCACCCAUCAUACUCAACUGACAGGCAAAUGGGGAACACGCUGGGAGCAGAGCUGCCCUCCUGAUUGAGCUGGUGACUCCAGGGUGGGUGAGAUGAAAUGCAGCUGUGAUGGAGAAGGGGAAGCAUAUACAUAGGAUUUGUUAUUUCUCUCUUUUUAUUCUGUGUGCUGUAUACUUUGGGGUAAAUACACACACACAAAAAUGUCUUUUGACCAACAUUUCAAUCGGUGUGGUAGUAUUUGGUUUAAUAAUGAGACGUUCAAUAGCUUAGCAUUGGUGAGCACACGAUGUGCAGGUGAGGGACCCAUGGGAGAGCUGUUGUAGGUUCUCCCACUGACUGUGUGAGGGCUCACAUGGAACAAAGAUGCUGAGAUCCCAGCCCUGCUCCUGCAAGUGAAAGGGAGGCAAACCAGGUCAGGGACGUUCUGAGUCCUGAGAAAGCACUUCUUGUCCUGUGAGGGCUGUCAGACAGUUUUCAGAGUAUGUCUGUGCAUGUGAUCUUUUUCAGUGCUAAAAUUUAUUUGGGAAAGUGUAAUAACAGCAGUACGUCCUUGUGAUUUUAUAGCAUUUUUUAUUAUGGCUAUAGUUUACAAUAACCUUGCUGUCAUACUGGCCUCUACUAUGGCUUCAGUAGCCUCUGAUUCUCUCUCUAAGAUGAUGGAAGUGAAAUUGGACCAUUUUGUAUAUGCCAACUUGUCUUUCCCCCUCUCAUUCCUUCUUCUCAAAUGGUGAUUGUGUCAAUGGGAUUCUUCUGGCUUGUUCUUUCCCAGCAUUCAUCCUCAGAGGUACACGGUGUCUGGGUUGCCUUUCCUCAGAAUAGAGGGAAUAAAUAUCAGUUGACAAAGCUGACUCUUCUAUGCAGCUGAAAUCGUGGAAGACAGUGCCCUUCUCUUUUUUUUUUCCCCUGUUCUUUAUGCAUUCCUGAUUCCCAUCCUGUAUCAAAAUCUCAAAUCUCUGCAUGGCAGCUGUUUGUUGUUUAGCCAUUGCUCUACUUGAGGGUGGGAAUUUAACACCUGAGGGGCUUUAAGGCAAGAGAAGUCCUUGAAAGACUCCUAGAAGAACAGACCAUGUUUUGGAUACCAGAAGUAAAACAGAAACAGCAAUGAUGCUGUAUCGGUGCAUGGCAAAUCUAUGAAGAGAGCAGAACAGUACCAGCACAAGCAAAGCCCCGGGAGAAGCACUGCUUUGGCUGAUGUCUGUGACUCCUCACACACUGCAGAGUGCUCCAACAGCAAACCUCUGCUAGACUGAUGGGUUCCAUAUGCCAGAGGGCUUUGAUUUGUGGCUGCUUCAGUGGUGAUCUGAGGCUUGUGUCUCUUCUAUAAAUUCUGCUAAAACCAGAGCUUCAUCUGUGAAUCACUCACAGGCACAGUUAACUAAUUCAGAGAUAUAUUUAAGCAACACUGCAUCUGGACUUGGCAACCAAUGUGAAAUCCUCAUUUAAAAACAAUAGUAAAGUACUGGAGAGAUUAUGACACGAUGUAGUCAACCAACGUGUAUUUUACAAUGCAAGCUGACAUUUCAGUGAUCUCCUAGAAUGGAUACUUAGCUGGAGAAGUUAUGAGUAAUUGCAAACAAAAUGCUGUGAGUGACCACUCUUCAACAAAGCUGUAGAGAAAAGAUUACAGCAACUGGGUCAGAGGCAAAACGCUGUUGUGACUGCAGGCUGGGGAGGAGAGGAAAAGCAGAGAGUUAGGCUAAUCUGAUAAGGUAGAAAGAGACCUGAAAUUUGGCUUUAGACAUCUGCAAAUUGACUGAGAUUCCUGUUGUUAACCCAUUUAUUGCUGGUGUUGAGAGUGGGCUGGAGUGGUGAAAUAACAAAAUCUGAGUCUGAAACAAUUAUUUUGUCUGCUCAGAAGCAGUACUAACUAUGAAUAAUUUAAAAGAACUGUAAAAUUGUCUGAAAAAAUGGGCAGAGCUGUGCUGGAUAGAGAUUAGAGGUGAAUAAAGCAAGAGAGAGUGACUGAGUGAGAGCAGUUGAUCCUGCACAAUCCAGAAGGGCUGAGUUAGAUGUUGCUCAAAGUACAGCCAUGAUCAUAACCCAAAUGCAAUACUAGGUUGCUUAUCUUUCAAGAAUAGUAAGAUAUUGAGUAACUGGGAGAGUAUCAUCCGGCAUUUUGUAUAAAGCCAUGCCUGUGCUCUCAGCUAGAGCACAGCUUGCAAUUUGGACCUCCAGAGCUCAAAAAGAAUGGGACUGAAAGAAGGGGAUUAGGAAAAGGGUGACAACAAUAUUCAAGAGCCUAGGAAAACUCCUGACAGAGGAGUGACUAAAAAUUUUACCUUAGAAGAUAUAGGAAAAUAGAAACGGUAGAAGUCUGAAGGAUACUAAAUAUGCUGGAGAGGAGAGAUUAGGAGCAUCUUUUCUUCUCUUACGAUGGCAUAAAGCCACAGGGGCGCUAGAUGAAACUUCACAGUUGUUCAGAAAGAUACUAACUAGGUCUAAUCAGGGAGCUGAUACUAAUGUUUAAAGCUUCAUGUCAUAAACUCAACUUUAAUAAGGUGUUAAGAAGGGGAGAGGAUAGCACCAGGUCUACAAAAGCCGAAAUCCUGACAAAAGUGUAUCUUCAGAGGGGUUGUUGCUUAGUUACUUCAUGCUCCAGUUUUAAGACUGUUACUUGAAUUUUACCUGAUUCAUCCAUCUUCUGAAAUCCUGUUUACAUUCUGUAAGGGAAGUUAAUAAUUCAGUGAACUGUGCUAAUUUACAAAAAUAAAUAAAUAAAUACAAUAAAAUCAAGUCUUUGAUAGAGAUGUCUAGUGCUUGUGCUAUUACAGUGUCAUUCAGCUUCUGUGCAAUUUUAACAUUUAAAAUACCUUUUCUGCUGUAAUAUUUCAUGAUUCUGGUUCAUGUGAUUUGGAGAAAAGCUGUGCUCUUACUUGCUUAAGUAGCUGGCCUAUAGCCAAUUGCUUAGGUGUAUGUGAAACAAACGGGGGUGUGUGGAUGUUUGUGUGCACACAAAUAAAUUUUUAGGGAAACAUUGUAGGUUAUUUUUCUGUAGGAUGCAAAUAAGAACAAGGCAGAUUUUUUCUUUUCCAGUGGCUUUCACGACUUCCUUCUUUCAGAGCUGUACAUAGAUGGCUCUUUCCCCAGUGGGUCGUAGUUCCCUGCACGGUGUCAGAAGGAUGACCGCUGCUUUUGAGAAGCCGUUUCUCUAAGCAGAUGCAUCCUUUUUCUCUUCCUUUCACAAAUAUUUGUCUGCUGUGCUGGGUUCGUGCAUUCCCUGUGCCAUGGCAGUGCAUGAGUUAAGUCUUCUGAGAGGCAUGAUGCAGCUCUAUAGUCAUAUGCUUGUUGAUGAGAACACAGAAGAUAAUGCAAGGCCUUAGAUAUUUUUGCAGUUCUUUCAGUACAGAUAUUAACUAAACAUCCAAGUGCCCUUUGAAUUGAUUUGAAGUGUAUGGAGACAAGGAACAGCUGAUCUCUGAAAAGAUCUGUCAUACAAAGCCUUCCCUCUGGUUCUCUUGCUCUCAGCAGCCCUCAAGAAAUUAGCUAUAUAUUUUUAAAUAAGACUAACAGGAAUUCUGAAGCAUGGUUCUUCCCUCUGACAGAAAGAUUUUUCCCGUUUUUCUUUUUUUCUUCUCCUUUUUUCUUAAAGAAACAUGAAUGCAUUAAUUACAUUUUAAAAUGUAAAUAAUGUUAAGGACUUUCUCCAGCUUGUGAAGAGAGAAUUGUUUAUUUUAGAAAAGUAUGUUUUUCCAGAUAGAGAUCAAUUACUAAAUUAUUCAUUUUUCCUCCUUUUCCAUUUUAUUGCAGGUCUCAUUUUUAGGUGGCUGGAAUGAUUAAUGGGAUGUGCUGGGUUAAUGCUUCGUGUUUGGGUACUCAAAUGACAGAAGCAUCUUUGUGCAAAGCUUUUAGUGUGGAGGCAGGAUUGGAAGAUAUUCUGAAGGCAGCUGAUUGGCCAUGGCACUUCCACUUCUUUCAAUUUAGCCAUAAAUCAAUUGUGAGUGAUUUUCCCACAGUAAUUUUUCAUAUGGUUUGAACCUGGGUAAUGAACAUCCUUGUCCCGGCGUGAAACUGUGAUUUUUCUAGAUCUUGUUGAAGAUGUGAUCAAGAUUUAUGAAGGAUGACGAUGUAAAUCCAUUACAUUUUCCUCUCUCAUUUUCCUCUCCACCUCUUCUCUUUACCCAUCUCCCUGCUUCCCUCCUUCCCUUUUUCCUUCCCCAUACCUCAUAACCCAAGGAGCUUUAAAAUGUCCACUAGAGUACAGCUAUCACAUUGCAGUUGGCUCUUACUGCAAGAAGAGUCAUUUGUCAGUGACAUAGCAGGAAACAAUAGCAAUACAUAGCAAUAACCUAAAUAAAUGUAAGAUGGUUCAGAUCAAGUAACAGUAGGAUGUAAGCAACUUCCUACAGUUCCGAACAUUUUUUUCUUCUUAAUCUGUUGCGAUUUCUUUUAAUGUUGCUUGAUAUCAAAGCACAGUUCUGCUUAAAAAAGAACUCUGUAGAAAUGAUAUUGUGGAGUCUUGUGUUCAUUUUGGCUCCUCAGUUUCUGUGUCAAAUGUUCUCAGCUUGAAAGUAAAAGAAAACUGUUGUUUUGUUCCUGGCAGUCCCCAGAUCUCUUUCCCGUACUCUUGCAUUCAAGGUGGAGCCAUUUCUGCCCCUUGUUCUCUACCUGUCUUUGCCAUCGACUGAAGUAAAGCUUCCAGUACUGGGUCUGCUAAUGGUGCCCUUUGCUCUACCACAGCAAACCCACUUGACAGUCACAUUGGAAUACUGCAUUUAUGUAUUGUGUAAUAUUGUGUGGUAUUGUAUUUCUGUCUUGCUUGGUUGGUAGAUGUAACAUUGAACUGUGAUUUAUUAGACCUGGGGCAGAGCACUUUUCCAUUACAAGGUCCAGCUAGGUCUCUCAGAGACAUUUGGCAAAUCAUAUGUUAAUAAGCACCUUUGUUUUUCAUCCAGUGAUAAAUACACGCAGGCAAGAAAAGUCGUUUGGCCACAGUCUGCCUGAAAUUAAGUUGCAGAUUGCAUCUGGCCCUUGGGCAAGGAAUUCCUUGUUCCUGUAUUAGACAGUGUCUAAUAGUAGUUGAAAGAGAGAUUUUUUGGAAAUCAUUCUGCAAGUGACUCUGGAGAGACAAUGAAUGUAAAUUCUUGCAGACUUACAAAGACUGCAGUCAGAAUAUUGAGUGAGACUCAAAGUGCAGCAUAGUGGUUUUGCUGUACAUGACAGGCUUCAGAGAUUUAGUAUUCAAAAGAAUGUGGGAAAUUGGGUCAUUUUUGUACAGUUGAGAAAAGAUCUGAGGUUACCAACUCUCUUGUUCUAACCAUGCAGGAGCUCUGAGUCUGGAUUAGGAGGAAAUCUGAACAGGAUUUUCCUCUGCAUUUAACACGAAAAUCUAAUAAAUUAUACUUAACUCAGUGAAUGAAAUUCUGCCAACAUUGAAAUUGAUGUCAAAAUUUCCAUUUGCUUUUUUGGAAAUAGGAUGUCACUCUAUCAGCAUAAAAACAAAGUAGGCUCUCUAAGUCUUACAGCCAGUUAUUUCUGUCAGAAUGUACUCGUUUUUUUAAUGUCUCAUUUUAAGAUUAGCUGUUUAGUUUUCUCAUAAGUAUUUUUCCUGCCGUAUAAAAACGGCUGAGAUUUACUUUUCAGUAAUUAUCACUUAAUGUGACAUCUUCAAAGCCAAAGGUCACAAAGAGGUGGAGGUGAUUAGCAUCAAGUAAAUAUGUAUUCACUAUCUUUCCUGCGUGAAGUUUGAUUCCCUAUUCCUUUUCCCUCCCCCUUUAUUUUUGGUAAGUAAUACAAGAGGGAGUUGUUGUAACAAUUUUAUAGUCCUUGAAUAGUAUUCAGAGUUUAUGGGAUAGUAUUUUAUAACUACAUUCUGUAAGCAGUGGUGUCUUUUGGAACAGCCGUGAAAUGUUAUAGCAGAGAUUUCAAAAAGACAAGGUCUUGGCAUAGGUUUCUGCAAGGAGGAAAAAUGGCUUAGGAAUGUUUUUGAGCUUGUUGCACGCCGCAGCAGUGGUUCUGAAGCUGCCUUGGUUUUGUGGCUAAUGGAUCUGUUGCAUCAGGUAGGAAUUAAUAGAUGUAGGAAUGGCCUGAAACAGAUCAGAAUGAAAAACCAGAUUGCUCAUGCAUUGUCUCCAGCAGGAGAAAGCACUGUACGUCUCAGUCAACUUGUGUGGAUGCUUCAUUCUUAUAUGUACCCAUUCUUGGGAACUUCCAGAGCAUACAAUAGCAAUAAAUAAAUAAAGAGGUAAAUAAAUAGAUAAAUAAAUAUAAGCAGUAAACAAAUAAAUACAUGCAACAAGCCUCCUUACUUCUCAUUCUCCACGACAUGGCUCUGAAGGAAGUCUUCCUUUGUCCCGUCUUUCAGCAAUCACAUUGUUAGAAAUUAGUGCAACCUGCAGACCUGCACUAUUUUUACAUGGAUCAUGAAGCUAGUAUGUAAGUGAUAGGCAAGAGAAUCUGAGUGGGAGGAGACUGAAAGCAAAUCAAGGAGUUAAGGACAUGUAAGAUAACACAAUGCAUGGCUUCUGUUGAUUUAUAUUCUUAAUUAUUCUUGCCAGUAAUUCACCCUUGCAGCAUCUCAGUGUGCAAGGUAGACAUGUUUUACCCUGUAUGAAUGCCUACUAGGUUUGAUAUUCAUUUAUUUCCUUUAUAUACCCGUUUCUUCAAACAACCUCAGGCCAACAUUUUGUGUUAGUGUAGAGUCUGCCCAGGAAAAUAAAGUAAGCUUUGGCAAGGAAUAAAAAAAAAUCUAAUAGUGUAAUAGCUGUGUAAGUUAAAAUGUAUAAAUUGAUGGUUCACAUAAAGAUUGUAAGACAUUUUGGUUGCAGGCUGUUAACCAUGCUACCAGUACAUUACUGAAGUCUAGCUUGUAGUUGUCAGCAUUUCAGAGUUUUGUUCACUAAUUCAUUACUUUGUUCUAAUCUCUGGAAGAUUUAGCAUGCAGCUACAGUUUCUUGUGUAUUAAUUUUGAGUGUGUUUAAAAAUAGUAUCAAGAAGUGUUUUUCUGAUGUUUGAACCCCAAAAUACCUGAGACUGCAUUCCUUCUGUUGAAUGCCAAUAACAAUUAUAAUAUUACUUGUGUGUUCUGUUGGCUGACAAAACAAAAGCUACAUCCAGAUUUAAGGGCUUAAUGAAAAAUCACACUGGAAAAUGUAAUACUUUGAAAAAUAUAGGCACCUCUUUUCCAAUGCAUGCCUGAAACUGAACAUAAAACAAAGCAUUGCUGUGGUUGUCAUAUGAAAAGAUGGACUUCUCUGUAUUAUCUCAUAAAACAUAUUUUUCCUGUUUCUAAGAGGAACAGAUUAAGACAUUUGAACACCUCAGCUAGACUUCUUAGAGGUUGGCUGGAAGUUACAGAACAUAUGGUGCUUUGAGUAAACAGAGAGCCACUAAGAAGAUAUUUGAAAUCUUUUGGAAUGUAUAAGCCAAUCAAAUUCCCACUGGGAUCUGACACUAUUGCAUGCAGCUCGGAUCACGUAACUCAUGCUUAACCAGAUCGAAGAAAGGAAGCCAGUAGCCUGAACUACUUCUCUGAGUUCCCUCUACAGUCAAGGAGUUAAGGAGGUAAACUCGUUGCACUUACUUCAGGUGUCUGUGAUGGAUUUAAAUGAACAUUCAGCAGCCCGUUUCCUCACUGAUUAUAAGAAGAGUUAGAAGAUUAGUUUAGCAUGCAUGCCCUAGCUUGGAAGUCAACUCAGUAGGUGAGCUCCAUCCCAAAUAUCUUACUUCCCUGCAGUGUGGUGUAGGUGGAGUUGUUGUCAAAUAAGCUUCUCUUUGUGUCAAGUUGACACUCACAGUUUGGAUAGAGUUGUUAUUUGGUGUCUGCUAUAUAAACAAACAUUCAGGGCAAGGGAUGCCCAAACCAGAGGACAGGGAAUGGGUUCUGAUGUUUUUUUGCAGAGAGCCAUGGGUCUGCAGCCUCUGAAAAUGUCUGGGAGGUCCAUGUGGUUUGGGCUGCCAGCUUCCAGCUUUGCCUAGCAACGAGGCUGCUUGCUGCAGAGACUGGAGCACCCUGUUCUGGUUGGAGGUUUGUGAGCUGUUUGCUUGGCUUUGUUGAAAAACACCAAGAUGAGAGAAAUACCCAGUGCUUAUGUUUUCCUUUCUCUUUAGCUAUUGUCACUAAGGCCAGGGUUUGGGGGGACUGGUGUUUCACUUGGAGGACGACAAAGGAUGACUGCUGAUGUGUGCUGUAAAGGCAGUGUUGACAGCAGUGUCAAGCACUAUUCCUAUUAAAGUCCUCUCAUUGACGUCAGUGGCAGCUGAUUUAGGCUUAUGUUGAAGCUUACUGUUAUGAGAAAUGGAGACAGCAUUGGUGGAUGUUGGGUUUAGAGCUGAUGUCCUUACAGAACAAACAGAAAUUAGCAAUAUUUAACAUUCCCCGUUGAAAACUAGUUGUUUCUAAUGAGUUCACCCACUUGCAGAACAUGUCACUGCUCAGACAGGAGGGGCUGCUCUGAAAUGGUUCAGGUACUGAGAGCAUCUGGUCAGUGGUUGCUGUAUGAAAGUUUCCUAUUUUUCACAGCUAAGACAAAUGUCUGCAGUAUAUAACAAUAGCAUGCUACCUACAAUCUUGAUGCAUUUUGUUUUCUUCUUGGCCAAUUGCUUGAAGAGUAUUAGACUUCUGGAAACUGCUUCUCUAGGAAACAGUUAUGUUUAGCACACUGCAGGUGUGAUGUAUCAUCAAAAUCUCAGUACUCCACUUUAAGGUUUCUACAUGCACCCUUCUUUCUCCUUUGUUUGUGGGCAAACCCAUCCCUUUGCCUGAAAGGAAUGUAGGAUGCUUAAUUCCCAAGGACUUUCUGGUCUUCAGAAUUUGAUGUAUAUUGUCUUUUUGGGGAAUGUUUAUGAGAGAGAAAGGAUCUGGGGAACAAAGAAUCUGAUAUGCCACAGAUUAUGAAGAUAAUUUAAAAAAUCUUUCAAUUCCACAUGUAGUGUGAAAUAUUUUUUUGUCUUAUUUUCACCUUCUCUGAAAACAUAGCAAUCUGAUCAGUGCUAGAAAUUUUUUUAUGUCAGUUAUUUGGCAAGCUAACGUGCUGCCUAAUUUCUUGUUUCUUUCUGAGAUGACUGCGAAAAUGGCAAGAAACCAACCUUAGACACAGCUGAUCUUGGCCAAUACGUUAGACCAUCUAAAUUGGACUCUAGAAUAUAACAGAGAUUACUUUUGCAUUGACGAUGGUUGAUUUCUUAGUCAGAGCUCAUAGGCAGAUUUAUUUCUGGCCUGUUUAGAAUAUUUGACAUUGUGAAUAAAGCGUUGCAGCUGAUAUGCCUUCAAGAUCUUGUAAAGAUGCAAGCAAAUGAUAUGGAUUGAAUCCAGCUUCAGUGACUGAACCAUAUUGCAUAACUGCAACUCUUCUCUUGAUAUUCUUUGUAAAAAAGGCUACAGAAUACUGUCCUCUCUCCUAUAUUGGUACAAAUACUAUGAGGGAAAUUAACUGUACUACAGUGUAUAUAGACAUCUUUGCACCCAACACAGAAAUAUAAAACUCCUGACUCUUCCCUUGACUAAGCUUAAAAGACACUCAGCUAAAAAAUGACUGCACUCUGUCAAAAUAAAAAUAAUGGGGAGGAAAGGCAGACCCUUCCAAAAUUAGAGAAUGCAUAACAUCAUGAACAGUUUGUUCAUGAAACUAUUUCAAUUAUUAUGGAAGAUUUAGUUUUCUGGCGUUGUUUUGUUUGUUUGUUUGUUCAUUUGUUUUACCCUUUAGGUCGUGGAUAAUCAGUUAGUGAUUACUCCCAAAAUAUUUCCUUUCUCUUCUUUGCAGAUUUUCUUUGGACAGAUGAUAUUUUUACAGUAUCCUAUUACAUCUUUAACUCAGGUUAUACUCUGUUUUGAAUUGCAAGUCUGAUCUGCAUUGUCAAACUGCUUGUUUAAAUUCUCUGUGUAAAAGUUGGCCAUCAAUAAUAUGCUCUACAUACCUUGUGGUUUUCUAUAAAAGAUAGGAUUAGGUUUUUAAUCAAGCUUUGUAGCAUUUAGGUGAUGAAAUGAUCAUUCUUUUUGUUACCCAAACCUCCCAUGGCAUCCAGCAUUCAUCUAGGAGAAAUGAAAAUGGAAAUGGAAUAUUCAGAUUGCCAGCUCUCAGUUUCACGUUUGUCUCUUGGAGAUCAAGUGUACUAUACAUCAUCCUGAAACUGAUUUGAAUGCUCCACCUAUCCAUACCAAUAAUUCCCCUAAUUUGAGCCCAGGGUUGUCCUUAGCUGAGGAACAGAGAGGAAGUGAAUCGUGAAGCUGGAGGCGUGGGUUAAUCUGCACAUUUCUGAAGUAGGUGAUUAUUUUUGCUCCUGUAAAGAUAUGGCACAGGCUCCAAGUACUACUGUCCUGUUACCAGCUGUCCAGCUUUUUAUCCCAUGCUCAUCCACCUGCUUCAGAACUAGCUACUUAAGUGUGUGUUAUUUAACAUCUUUAGAAAAUGUGUAGAUAAGAGUAUCUGAAUGGGGUAAAAAGUCCCAAACAUCAACAAAAUUCCUGUUGACUUCACCAGAGCUAAGAGUGCAAAUGAAACCACAGCUCUGCACUGUGGAUUACUACUUUUCAUUCAUUCCUGACAUCUCAGAAGGUGGCAUACUCUAAGGAACUUUAUGUUACCUGUUGCCAAAGUGCGUUUUAUGUGGUAGAUCAUAAGAUCAUGCAAAGGCGUGAUUGUAGCUUACAAAGACUGUUUAUUAAGGCUAUCGUUCAUGUUACACAUUUCUUCUCCAUGUCCUUUUGACACAGAAUGAUAAUGUCAAGGAGCAACUGAUUAAAAUAAGCAAACAUUUGGAAUACAUUUGGAUGUUUUUAGGAGCUAACUACAUGACUACACUCUGGAUCUUAGAAAUAACACUAUUCACUGAGAUUAAUAGAUGUUCUUACCCUUUUUUCUUUCUUUUCCACUUCCCCUCUACAUCUCCCCCAGUAAUGUGCCCUAUAGCUAAGGAUUGAGCCUGCUAUAAAAAGGCAGAUGUUGGAGAGUGAAAAAAAAUAAAAAUAUCACUGUUCAUUUUGGAUUGCAAUGGAACAAAAGCAUAUGAGGUAUGGUUCAAAAAUGUGUUAAUUUUGUGAAUGAGCUUAAUUGAAGUUAAUUUUUUUGCCCCCUUGUCAUGAGUUCACUGAAGACAAACAAGAGAUUUAGUAGGUGGCUGAAAAGAGAUGUCCCUCAUAUAGCAGUUUAACAUUUGUAUUUCUUUUCUUUCGUGGUUGAACUUUGCCCUACAUUGUUCCUCUUGUUGCAAAAUACAUUUCCCAGGAGCAGUGUGUGAUGUUUUCCUGCUCUUGGAGAAAACUAAGCAUAUUUUCAAUAAUCUUAAAUCACGAACUGGUGAUAUAUAAGGAACAAUUUCUGUUACCACUGAAUCCUAGAAGAGAUCCAUUGUGGAAAGCUGUUCAAAGCCCAGGGUGCACUUUUCAAAGGUACGUGUCUUUUAAGGGAGCUGGAUUCCUAUCAUCCCAUGAUGUGUCUUUGAAACUCUCCCCAAUGUGACUAAGACCAUGUGUGCGACCGUGUGCCUAAUUUGUGAGUAGUCAUAAUGAUCAUACAGUAAUAGGCAUGCAACUGAGUCUACAUUUUGUUCAUAACUCCCAGUGCCUUUAGCUGAAUGUUCAAAGAGGCUGAAUUCUCACAUCUGCUACUACUUCAGUGGAGCUGUAGGUGCUCUGGGACUGAAAAUCAAGCUACUGACAUACUGAAAAAUUAAAGCUGAGGUAUGUAUGAGUCAAUCACAUGUCUACUGUUCAUUCGUAAGUCAGACUUGCGAGCUGGAUCUUUCUGAGUGUAAUGGAGACUACUGACACAGACUUUCAGGAGAUUUUAAAUUUGAGAAUUUUCUUUUUGUCAACUUAUCAGCCAAACUCCAGCCUUACAUAACCAGUAUUCUUAUUCAAAAAUCACUACCCCCAUUUUCUUUAUUAGCUUAGGCAUCUAGUAACAGCUGAGCUUGAUACAAGCUGCAUUUUCAUUCUUCAUACUGAAUGCUUGCAUGCAACACUUCUGAUGUCAGUGUUGGAUGGUCUGUAGGCUGAUACUCACUUUUCAUACACCAAACAAAAUGAAUAAAACUUGUUAUUCAGCUUACAUCUUCCAAAAGGGCUUUUUCUAUUAAUGUUUUUCAUAUUCUGUGAAUAUUCAUACAUGUUCACCAUUAAGCGUGUGAAUAAUUUCAUUAACUCAUUGGGAAUAUCGGUAUGUGCACUUGAAUGUAUACCUUUGUGCUUGUAGUUAAAGAAGCUUCUUUGUAUUUUUUUCUCCAGCUUCAACCUUUAUAAAUCAUAUGACACUUCAGAAACAUCGUGACGUUGUCUGAAAAAAAUAUGAGACUCUAAAACAAAAUGUGCAUUCUUUUUAUUUGCCUUCUGGUUUUUGAGCUUUUAUCAGCAGCUUAGUGAUGUUUUGAAAACUCAUCUUUUCAAUAACGAAGGCUAAGAGCAUCUGGGUUUUUAUUUUGAAGCAAAGAAAUGAAAUCCUUACAUAUACAUACCAUUGAAGGAACUGGACUUUAACAGAAAUACCAAAUCAGAACACACAAUAUUGGAAUGUGAGAGAGAGGUAAAGGAACCUUAGACAGAGAGCAAAGGAAAAGCAUUAAGGAGAUAGAAUAUUUCUUUCAUGCUUUACAGCUUAGGGUCAUUAAAAUAAACACCCUGGAAACCCUGUGAGUCCUUAAGACAAUGCAGUUUUAGGAGUCUCUCAACCUCACAGCGCUCAAUUUAGGCCCACUAUCAAACAGGUCUGGACUUCACCUGCACAAGAACUGAAUGCGUUCUUGCAGGCACUAAAGGAUUAUUGAUGAGUAGGUGGAAGAAUUUUGUCUCGUUUGGUUAUAUAUGUUGGCAUUUUUCAUUGCAAUAGCUGUAGCUGUUUGUAAUGCUGUCUGCAACCACCUCACUUGAUGAAUUUUUCUGCCCUGCAUUUGCCUUUGAUUCCUGUAGAGCACCCAUCAACUGUGAAGAAAACAGCAGUGCUUAAGCAUAGUCUAUUCAAGUAUAUUCAAAAUGUGUUAUUUUUAGCAUUAUUGUUAAUAUGAAAUGUUCCACCAACCAGCUGGAAUUAUGCAAAUCCUAACACAUGCGUUCCUCACUAAGCUGUACUCUUGGAUGUACUCUUUACAUUCAUUUCGUUUUAUGAAUGUCUUUCCAGCAUACUUCUCUACAAUGGGAGAUUGAAAAGCCUGCAAUUUUCUUCUUGCCUGAUUCUCCCAUUGGGUUUUGUUCACAUUCAAAAAAUAAAUUGAUGUCUAUUUUUUAUUAGUAUAGAUUGAGGAAAAAAAUCUACCUGCCAGCAUAGAUGAAUGGGGUGAAAAAGAAAGGUUCACAAACUUGAAAAACUAUGUUAUUCAAGUAGCUCUUUGGUGACUCACUGUUUUCAGUAGAAAUAUUCAGGGCGGUCAUGGAAGGAGCUCUGAAAGUCUGAGAAAUUUUUUAGUAGCUUGGUCGUAAGCCAGAAGCUUGUAAGCUCCAUCACCUUCACUUGUAUUACCAAAAUAUCAUGUGUUUCAGGGCAAUUUCUGGAUGAGAGGAGAAGGAAGAAGUGGCAGAUCUGCAGUGCUGCCGGUUUUAGACGGGUUUGUUUGUGCAUUGAGAGAACAUAGACAUGACCUUUCUCUUUGUCCUCAUCACACCAGUGUUCUUGCCAUGGGGGCAACACGCAGCCUCUCCUACACAUUCCUCCUUCCCGCUAUGGGAAACUGAUGUGUCAACGAAAGCUGAAGUGUGUGUCCUGCUCCUCAUGUAUUUUUGCAUCCCUGCUGAUUUAUGGAGCAGCCUGUCAGUUCCUUCUGGUGCUUUGGGGUGUAGGAAGGGGUUCUACGUGUCUGCAGUUCACUUGCUGCUAGAACAGCUCUAAUUUUCUUGUUCUUUAGAGCUUACAGUGAGGAGUAGGAGAAUUUCCCAAAAGCUGAGUGGCCUAGGUCCCUGGUCUGAAAUCCCACCAUUAAAUGAUGUUCUAAAUCUUUAUUUUAUUUUCACCUUGCACUGCCUCUUUUAAAGGUUUCUUAGAAAACUCAUUUAAUUUUAAAAACUUAUUUACACCUCUGGUUCACCUUGUCUCCCUAUAAAGGACUUUUCGAAUCUGGUAACUUCAGUAAUUUGUUGCGACUCUUCAUUUUUUGCUGAACUUGUGAUUUCCAAAUUGAAUUGGUACAGAGUUUGUUUGCUGCUGCUGUUUUAGUUUUCUGUGAUGGAAGAUAAGACACACAGCUCAAUAGAACAUUUCAGAAUUUUUUCUGACUAAAAUAAUAAAACAGCUUUGAUCGCUGAUAGUUAAAACCUGAUGAUGCAUUUCACAUUAAGCCUCCAGGGGCAGAAGUGGUCCACCCUGCGUGUAGCCAUACUCUGUGUAGCACCUACGGGUCUUCUCCACAUAGGAAGGCAUCUUGUCUUGCCUUAGGCUGCCUCUCUCCUCGAGCAGGAAGGGACAUUCGGAGCUGUUAUCGCUGUGCAUGAGAGGUUGCUCACUUCUCCAGCAAAUGCAAACUUGCAGGUCUGGUGGGUUAGAUGCACAGUCAUCCAUAUUGACCUGCAGCUCCACGGGAUGGUAGAGGUGUAUAUCCUCUUUAUUUAAGUCAGUCCUUCUAAAUGCUGAUUUUAAGCAUUCUGGCACUGGAACUAUUUCCUCUGGUGUGAUGGUUAGCCAUAAGUGUUAGCCCCACAUGUUAAUAAUAUAAUACUACGUUUGUUUUAUGGCCACUACUAAUUUUUGCUAUUCAUUCCUUCUACCAAUAAAUUUGCUUCUGGGUAGGUAGUUUUCUUAAACUGUUCUUCCUCCCUUAUGUCAGUCUUCUGCUGUGAGUUCCUUCACCAAAUUCAGUAAGAAAGAAACAUUCAUUUGAGUAUAUCCUAUUAAUAGUAGUAAAGUGGUGUCCAGGUCAUUGAUUAGAGGUUCUGUGUGAAAUUGCUGUAUAAAAUAAAUUUCCAGUACAGGCUAUGGGCAAGAUGUACUUGGAAUAGUGUAAGCUGAUAGCAGUACCCCUUUGCUGGCAUUGAUGCAAUAUUAUACAUUGCCUUUUCUUGAAGACACCUCCUGAUGUCUGUUUUAAAUAUUUUUAAUAGGCAACUCAAAAAUCUGCAAGAUUAAUAUUGACCCCAUAGAGCUUUAACUUUCCAUGCAACUGGGAAGGGGUUUCCACCCAGCUGGUAUGGGAUUUCUGGUUUUGCUGGGUGUGUUCCAGCCAUAGUGAUUUCCUCUAUGAGGUUUAUAUCCUCUUUGUGGUAAAUGCUGAGGCUCCAAAAGCAUAUGCUUUUCAAAAUGGGAGUAGAGACGUGUUCAGCAUAAGGCAAUACGUUUAUUACAAUCAGGUUUCUCAUGUUUCUGAAUUAUAAACAAAGAAUUACUUUUUCCUUUGUUGUCUUGCCAUGAAUCAUACAAAAUUGACGUCAAAGGAGUCAUUCAAGGAUUGAUUUGAUUACAUACAUACAUGCAUACAGAGAGAAAAAGAGAUGUUUAUCCUUAAACAGCGCAGCUUAUCUGCCUCCACUGACAAUGGCUCAUAGUGGAUCAUUCAAACAGGAGUGGAUGACUGUCACAAAACAAUCCUCUCUUUUGAAAGAUGGAAACGUCUUAUCUGUCUGAACAUGAAGUCACACAUGUGCCAUAAAGCAGUUAUAUUAAUUACACUUAAAAAAUGUUGUGAGCUAUAGGUUCAGCAAGGUUAUUACAUUGUGUAAUUUCCCCACAGAGAGAAAAUUCUUCCAUAAAAGAAAAGAAGAAAGAAGCUUUUGUGUAAAAUGCCAUUUUUUUGUGUGGAGAGUGAACUCGAUGUGUCGUUCUUUUAUGAAACCUCCUAAUCCAAGGAGAUGAGUUGCCACAGGCUAAUUAUAAAUGAAAUUAAAACGUUUCCUCUUAUCUUGUUCCACCUAUACAAUGUAAGUACAGCCUUCACAAGAAUCAGAGGCACAGGAAUCUGCGUCCCUUCCUCUGAAAGGCAGGUGGGUGCCCACGUCCAGUCUCACUCUGACAAGUGGCUUGUCAACACACCGCUUUCUGAAGGGUACUCUGUUUUCCCACACCUUUUCACAGUGGGUAGUUUCAGUACCAAGCACAGAUAUUAGAGGCUUUAGGCACCUUUACAAUACAAUUUAAAUACUUUUCAGAAGGAAAUCUGGUACAGUUAUCCAGAAUUCAAAUUCAUUUAAAUGGACUAGACUCCUGGCAAUUACCAAUACUGUUUCAUUACAAAACAAAUUGGUAGUGAUAAGGUAUUUGAAGGCAGUGAAGGAAAGCAAUAAAGUUUUGCCAUGGGGUCAAGUCAAAAUAAAACAAUUUGCCUCUGCCUUAAAAAAUGUUGACAGAUUUCAACAUCCAGAGGGAAGGAAUGGGAGACAGUGGAUAUAACACAGAAAAACUUGUCUUAAGCAAUAAGUUGGAGCCUACCAAAGGCUGGUUGCCUAGAUAUGGUGCUUUGUAAGACUGAAUGAAAUUACGCCAGGAACUUUAGAAGUGGAUCAAUACAGUCUCCAAAGAGAGGAGGUUUUCAUUUGCAGGCAGCCUUUUGCAACACGUCUCUUUACAAGCGGACUAGCACUUGGAAGGCCAGCUUCACACCAGUAGCAAGUCAUCCAAAUCUUCAGAGCUCUGGAAGAUGCAAACAGUUGUUUCUAAAUGGAUCUCCUGUUAUGCAGAAGGUUGUUCAGUUUCUCACAUUUUUGCUGCACCUUUGGUCUCCAGCAUUUUUUUUUUUUUGUAGUUUUCUACCUGUUCAAAUUGCCUUUGUGUUUUCACCAACACAGCUGUGCUGAUUGGCACAGGAUUUUAUUUGGAAAGUGGGAAAAUGGCUGGGUCCGUGGCUCAACCCACUCCUUCCGUUCCUUUAUUCCCAUGUGUGGGAGCAGAGGCAAAGUUAAAUUGCAGAGCGCCAUAAUUGCUGAAGAGCAAAGUGCUAAGAAAUAUUGUAAUUGAUAUAGAGCAAAGUGACGGUAUGGUAGAGUGAUGUUAUGUUUCUGAAAGUGGGAGCGUAACUUUUCAAACAACUAUGAAGUGCUUACAAAAUGCCUGAUGUGAAUUGCUUUUCUUCGUUUAGCAAUAUUUAGGAGCUCUGAAUGGUUUUGCUCAAUUAUAGCAGUUAAUUUGAUCUAAUGCAAUUGAUGUAAAUCAUGUAGUUAGCCUAAUUUAUGUCAAUUGAGCCUGCAAAAAUUUGUUUAUAAACCAAGCCCAGAGUGUCUUUCUUAACACCAAAAGUAUUUUUGUGGCAACUGCUGCUGUGAAGUGGAAUACAUAUUGCCAGACAAACAACAUGUCAAUUGUAUUUUUGAUUUCUUUCUGGGUUUGGGUAGGGAAAAGACUUGAAUUAUUAAUUAGAGAAAUGUGACAUUUUAUGGUAAUUUUGUAGUAGAUUUGGGAAUUUCAUUUUUGGAAAAAAAAAAGCUAUUAUGUUCAAAAGGCAUUUGGAGAAAUAGAAUAGUGUUUUCUCACUAAUGCACUUCCAGUAAACACGGAGAUUUAAUGAUUUUCAGAGAUCUAUAAUUAUAUGCUGACAGUUUCUCCACUGUGGGAAGACCACUCUGCUGAGGAACAAUUGUCCCACAUGUGGAUGAUUCCAAAUUCCUUUUGCAAGGGAUUUUGUGGCUUCUGUAUGCAUUUAUUAUGGCAUUUUAAAAUAUCGUGUAGCAGUGUUAAGGCAGUGACGUUUGUUGGCUGAUUUUUCUCUGUCAGGAUUCUGUUCCAUUGAAUCGGUAACAGUUUCUCAGGGAUCAAUGAAAUUAAGCUAGUAUAAAACUGUUGUAAGUGAGAGGAAAACCAGAUUAGAUGCAUGCAGGUGGUUUUAUCUUAUUAUCUCUAUAUCUCUAUCAUCAUCAGUGAAGGCACGCUAUGCAUCUGUGUUUUAAGUUUUUUAAAAGAAUGCCUGUUUUUUUUUGAUACAAAAUGCUUUGAAUAAUACAUCUAGUUAUUGUUGGGUUAAGAAUCUUUGAAAACUAACAUGUGAACAGAGAAACAGCUUAUUUUUCCCUUUCUCUACUGUAUUUAUGUAGGUCGUUUGAGGGGCUCCAAUAGCAGCAACACACAGCAAGCUCCUAGUCACACUUUCUGUGUGCAUAGAACAGCCAUAUGUUUCUUCAGUUUCUCUGUCAGCUUCCCUGUGCUUGUUCCUGCUAAAUGCAGAGCCUGGAAGGCAGACGGGAGGCGUCUCCAAAGCAGGGCAGAAGCACUCGGUGUGACCAGCUAGGCGUGAGAUUCAUUACAUGCAAAUGCUGUCCAGCAGUGUAAAUCAGCCCAUGUGGAAUCUGGGAGUGCGUGUCAGCCUCUCCAAUCUCUGCCAGCGCUGGUUAAGCUGAGAGUCAGUGACAACAAUGCCAUAGACAUGCUCUUCCUAAAGAAAUGAUCCCCUUCCCCCCCCUCCCAAGCUGACUGUGUCGAACAGACAAAAUCCCAAUCAGCUCUAUGGGCAAAUUAAGUCAUUUGGUUUCAUGUGUUCUUAGAACACUGUGUCUUCUUGCUGUACUGCCUCAGUGUAGUUCUCUGGGGAGCUGUCACAAACUCUGUGCAAAUGCAAGUUAGGAAAGAAAAGUUGCUGGCAGGGCCGGUUCCUCGGAUUGUUACUAUCCCCCAAAAAUGUACUCUGUCCAAAAUCCUGAUGAUGCAGUUCAUCUGGCUGAGGGGAAAUGCACACUUUGUUAUACAUAACACAGGCGUGAUUACAUUUUCCAUUUGGUAAAGUCAUAAUGUAGCUCCAAGUCCUCUAAAAAUAGAGACAUGAUUCAAGUUGCAAACAAGAUGGAAGGGUUUCAAAUGGCUGCAUUAUACAUAGAGCAAGCAUAGAGCAAGCAAAGUUAAAUUAAUAGGAAAAAUCUGGUUUGGGGACUAGGGCUGCAUUCUCUUUUUCUAAGCAAAUGCUUAGCUGAGGAAGCGCUGUAUGUCAACAGUUCCACUGCUGCAAGCAGAAAGAAUCUGGUUUACUUAAAAUGCAGACUGUUGCAGGCUUUACCCUCCUGAAAUGAGAAAAAAGAGCAAAGAAACAUUUUUCCUAAGCCACUGACCCAUUUGUUUACCUGCUGAGUGGCCAAAUAUGCCUAUACUAAAGAUACUUGCAUUGGCUGGAAAAUCAGUAUAUAUAUAUAUAAUAUAUACAUACAAUAUUGUCUUGUACCUUUUAUUAAGAUGGACUGAGGCUAUUUUAAUUGCUAGCUUUGCACUUUCCGUCCCCCGUUAUCCACAGCAGCAUUACUGACCUCUGCUAAAUGUGAUUUAAAACUUCACUGCAGCUCUUAUUGUUUAGGCUUGGAUCAAGUUAGUAGGGUGACCUGGGCUCUGGGUGCAAGGUUCCACUAUUCCAGCAACAUCUAAUGGAUAGAUGGGAACUGCAUCUGUCAGGCCAGGGUAUAGGUGCCUCUUAAAAGAGUGGCCACAUUAAUUUUACAGGGAGAUUUACUGAAAGAGAGAGGUUGCAGUUUGUCCAAGAAUACAGAAUGCCUGCAGCAGAACCAUGAUGGGAAAUCCUAGGCUUAUUAAGAGAGUAGAUGCUCCUUAAAACUUUCUGAUUUAUGUCCUCAGCUGUUAGGGCAAUGGACUCGGGGCUCUGGACUUCUAAAUCCCACCUGGAGAUCUGCUCAGCCCUUUGUUUUCUGGGUUUAACAUCUCUAAAAAAGGGAUAUUGGUGAUUCCCUAAUCUGUAAAUCUGGGAAGGAUAAAUUCAGGUAAGAAAGGAGCUGCUUAGGUGUUAUUAUGGAGAUGAAGACAAUUCAGGCUUGUUUGCAAGUCCUUGCUUCCCGAGUAAGGGUUUAGAGGCUUCAGAUCCGGCUGGCCAGGAACUGUUUUCUAAGGACUGAGAGGAAGAAGUUUUCCUUGUCUUUGUACAGCCCCCCAGUGUGUGAUGAGGGCCCACAUUCCCUCAGCUCCUGCAGAGGGAAAUGAUGCUCUUGAAAUAAAUAAAAUACACCUUCUGUAAAGAGUAGUUUGCAAAAUAGUGUAUUUAUAUAAUUAAUGUAUCCCACAAUUAACUGCAAACAUCACGCUCUCUGCAUAAUAAAUAUUUUAAGAUAUGAACCAUACUUAUAUAGGACUAAAUAUUUGAUUUUUCAGAAAUGUAAAAUCCUGUGCAAAGAUCUGAAGCUUCCUUCCAGAUAAUACUCAUACAUGCUGCUGUACAUAAGCACUCAAAUAUCAUCAGUGUGUUUUUGGAGGGAUUAGACAUUGUUCUAAUUUCUUCCCUAAGUUUGCAUUGUUCUCUAUGCUAAAACAAAGCAAUAAGAAGAACAAAAGUCAGCAUUUCAGUUAAGAUGUUUGUCUUCUCAUUGGUGCAUGUGAAUUAAAGCUAAAUGGAAAGUAACAAUAUCAUAGAAAAGGAGAAAGGGUGAAAAACAGAGCAAUGCACUGCAGCACAGCUGAGAGUUGUCUGUAACCUUAACGAGGUUCAUUAGGCUCCUAAUUUGAGCCAAGGUUGAGAUUCUGACUAAACCUGACUUCUCAGAGUUGCAGUGGACCAGCACUGCUUGCUUUGCCUGUCUAGUUAUCCAGGUUUUUCUGUCUGGUCCACUGAGCUGAGACUGGACAUGCACUGCUACAGGUGGGUGCCAAGUGUUUGGGGCUUUGCAAGGCUUCCCUUCUGCCUUCCCAGAGCCUCUGUGCUCUGCUGCCCUGGAGGCUGCACCUCAUCAGGGGCUUUGCAGUUUGGAUUGCUUAAUAGCUUAUGGGGAUGUUGUGAAUCUGCAUUAAAAAAAGAAGGAACGCCACUAAUGUAAGUCCAUUUUAUCUCAUAAUUUCCUGUCGCUAACUGCAGAUAAUGAUGGAAUAAUUCAUGACUAUAUUAGAGCUUUAGAGUAUUGUAAAUUUUCCUAAUCUAGUUUAGCCAAUAGGUACUUCAUCUGGAAAAGGACAAGAAAUUUUCCAAUAACUCUCUCCUCUAUUGUAAAGAAUGUUGAACCUGGUUCUGUGCUUGAAAGCAAUUAGUUUUGAGGCAGUUAGGAAUAAAUUGCUGAUACCCUAGAAUUCUCUUAAUUGCUAUCCUGAUCAAUGACAUGCCUGCUUAAUUGGGAUGAUUGGCAGGCAACUAAUCCUGUGCAGUGCAUUUUAAUUACCCUAAACAACAUAUUAAUGGCCUACCUGUGCUUAAAUAGCACGUCUCCUGUUGUUUUCUACCACUGUUAGCUUUUCAUAAGAGCUAGAAAGAAAGAGCUGGAGCUUGAGAGAAGACAUCCUACUUCUGCAGCCCCCUGCUUUCUUCCUGUAGUCCUCCUGCUUUUAAAUCACUCGACCUCAUCCCAGAUAUUUAAUACAAAAUUAUUGUCUGACAAUUUAUAGACACUUCACGAGCUACAGCAGCGUAUUUCCUAUCACCAUGCAUUCCUCUGCUCCCCCAGUACCUGGAAGAAUUACUCAGUCAGUUGGUUUCUAUUUACAUUGGAUUCUUUGCACUAACUGGUGUGCCACUGCAUGUAACCUACUUAUAUGCAAGCUUCACACUUUGUUUUCUAAUGGUAUAAAAAUGUGUAAUUGGGCAAGCUUGUUGUCUUACUACUAGAAAGGAAUACUAAUAAGGUAUAUUAAUGUUUCCUUGUUAGUAGUAGUGUUCAUCUGAAAAAUGUCAGUGUUUUGAUGAUGAAAGAGAUAGCUGUCUAGAAAAAAAAAAGUAAAUAUACAUUUCUUUUUAAUUAGUCUUAAUUAGAAAACUAAUAGAUUUCAAGGACAGAAGAAGUCAUAGUGAUCUUUUGAGCUAUCUCCCUGGGAUGCAGUCACAUGAAACAAGAGAUCCAGCCUCUGAUGAUACAUCAGUUUGCAUACAGCAGAUAUCCACUUCUUACCCAUCAUCUAGAUCCACUCUAGAGUCAUCCACUCUGUUUUCAAAAGAGAGAAUGUGAUGUUCUCCUCUUGAGUAAUAUAUCUAAAGCAGUUUAAAUCAACUGUGUUCUACAGGUGUCUAAUGUUCUCAAUAGACUAAAAAGGGCAUCAAGGGUGACUAGGUCAGUGUGGUGUAUGCUGAAGUAUAGAUUAGAUAAAUCCCACAGCGUCUCAUGUAUCCCACAAAAAUAAAUAAGGAAUGCUUCAACAGCCACUACCUUAGCUUGAAGGUGUCUGAAUUGACAAAUCCACGAGAUUACCCCCAUGCUGUGGCUCUCUCUGUGCACAUGGCCAGCGCUGCCAUCAUCUGACAAGACAUUUCCAAACUGAGACAGUGAAAAGUGCUCAGUGAGGGAAGUUGCCUCGAGUGGGUGCUGUCUGCACGCAGUCCCAAUGCCUGACAUUCCCAGGUGCUUUGGAGGGCAGCUGUGUGAGCAGAUGAUGUGGGAGCUGAUAACUCCCCUUCUUGGGUUAUAAGGAACUGGGAUUAUAGGGAACACUGUGGGGGUAUUCGUGCUCCCCAGGUAGCACACAGCUGCUCAAUACUUUGUUUUUGCUUAAGCCACGUGAGGGUAAUCAGAGCAUGCCUCUGCUGGCUACCACCUUGUAGGUAUGCAGAGCCCCCAGCAUGUGCCAGUAGGCACUGGUCCUUCAUUAGGAGGAAGAUGUAUCUGUUUUCUUUUUAAUACAUCAGGGAAAGGAAGGGAGGUGUUUUACAUAUGAAUGCACAUUGAUCAGGAACACUUUCACAAACUUUUCUUCUUUUUUUUUUUUUUUUUUCAAUAUAAAAACUGAAGUUGGUUCCUGCCUCAUUUUGGGUACAUCAGAUCCCACUGUCUCGUAUCUGAGAAGACUGCUUUAACCUAAGGCUAUUGUAAAAGGUCAUUGUUCAGUAGAUGUUUGAAAAAUCAUCCCUCUUUUCUCAUUCUCCCUUGUUAAGAAUCCUGAACCACACAGUUGCUGAAUUGAUAUCACAGAGGAAAUCUGCCCAUUCUGUUUCCUUUGCUAUCCAUGCAGCAUAGCAGAGGAGCUUGUCUCUGGCUCUCCCACUCCUCAGAUGUUGGCAGGAAGGCCAGCACUGAGUCUUUCUUAGCAUUGCCCAGUUGCUUGCACUAGAUCUGCAUUCACUGUAAGCAGUUUUGAAGAGAAAUCUGGCAGAAGAAAUGAAUAUCUUGUUUUGGUUUUACAAAUCCAAAUGUAGAAGUCUUCACAUUUCUCAGUUUUCACGUGUGUCCUUAGCCUAAUCACUGGUAAACUUGUGGCUAAGCUGUCUGUGUCAUGCUUCCAGGCUUCACUCACUUAACUGUCUUUGUUGUAAGCGCUGAGUUUGGCAUAGGCCAGUUUUGCUUGGUUAAAUUAAUCUUUUAGAAAUCUUUGUCCCAUGUAAACAUCUGCUGAUGUACUGUGAGUAUUAAAGCAAUGAUCAGGGGGCUGAUUUCCUUUGAUAAAUUAGAAAGUGCCCGAUCCCUUCUGUUUUCAGUUUUAUAGUAAGAAAUAACAACUGUGAUAAGUGUUAAUAAAUACAACUUUUAAAAACUUGCUCUUAGAAAAGAAUAGGCUGAUCCUUUGUUAGAGAUGUUCCUUUCUGCGUAUCUAUUUCAUGUGCAUUUGUUUCUGUUUAUCCUCUUACUGAUGCAUUCCUUGAGAUGUCUUGUAGUGCAAUUUGUGAUGAACAGGCGAAUGAAUUGUUUUCACAGCACUUACAGAUGUGUAAAAUAGCCUCUUUCAAGUUGUCUAUUAAACCUCUGGAGAACUGCGAAAAUGGACUUUCAGUUUUUUACCUUUGCUACACAGCUUUGCAUCCUUCAGUCUUAUUAUUGUCUUUAUAUGUAUAAUCACUACCCCAGGGACAGCCUUCCUUCUAAGUAGCAGCAUGUAGUUGCUGAAUCUGUAUUUUUUUUAAAGAAAUCUUUCUUUUCCUAACAGCUACUCCAGAGAGUGAAGAGAAAAGGACAAGUGUUUUCUCAGAUGUUUGUACGGUGACAAGGGCAGGAGAUUGAGUAGGUUGGUGUAUUAAUGUGCUUUUUUUUUUUUUCCUCAGGAAAACAGAGGAGAAAUGGGAAUAGUGGUGUGUGUGUGUGUGUGUAUAAAUGGAAAAGUAGUCAAAAAACACAGAAAUUAGGUAAAUGUUUGGCACAUAGGGCAAAUGGGAAGGCAGUGAAGUUGAACUUGCAGUGACACUGCAACGAAGUAGAAGAUGGGAGCUGCUGAUGGCUUCCUUGAGGGAAGUACUGGCACACAGUGAGGUCUACGGACCUUGCUAUUUACUGGGGUAUGCAUGCCAUACCUAUAGGAGCACAGGAGAGGUGGGGGAGUAAAGUGAAGAUGAGUUUGACUUUGCCUAUUCAUCCCAGAGAGCACAACAGCGGGAAAGGUGCAGCGGGGCUGUAGAUCAAGUUGUUCCCCAGGUGGGCAUGGGCUGCUGUCAGGUCAGAAGUACACCGAGGCAAAUGUCCCAGUGGUGAAGGAGUAGGGUGAACAGACACAAGCUCUUUGGAUUUGCUUUUUUCCCCUGUGGUGUUACGAUCACAAAAGCAACCUUUUCUUUGACUUGUUUCUCUAUAUAAGGAACAUACGGUCGUGUAGGCUGUGUGUGUAAAUAAGUUUAAGCAACCAGUAUUGUUGUUUACGUGGAGGAGAAUAUGUUGCUAAUAAGGAUGUCAAGAACAGAUGUGCUAGAGGACUGGGGGCCUGUGGGCUUCUGUGUGUGUGUGUGUGUAGAUGUGGUGUAUAUACCUAAUACACAAUGGAGGGCAGUCUUCAGCUAUAUCUUUCCAUAUUUUUCCCUCUGAGGAAUGGGGCAGCCCUUCAAGUAGACUUUUGAUGGCUGUCUUCACAAAUAAUGCUAAUUUUAUCAUAAUACAAAAAGUUUAAAACUUUAGCUUUUGUACAGUAUGAAAUGAAUGAACAGUGCAUCAGAAACAUCUGUCAGGUUAUAGAAUAAAGGCUCAAUUAGCAUUUUUGUGUGGUGUGGAAUAAUUCAUGCUGGGACAUCAAAAUUUGCCUUCUGAAAUGUAUGGGAAACAAACACAUUUUCUGGUCUUUCUUGUUCCUCUCUAUAGACUGGUUCAUGCUGGGGGAGGGUGAAACAGAGUUGAGCCAUGUUAGCACCAGUGGAAAUCGGUGGGGUGCAAUGCAGCCGUAUAAGCAUCUUCAAAGUGCCUUACAAACAGGAAUUAAUAUAUUGAUGUUGCACGGGGAUUCUGUGGUCAAGAUAAUGCUGCUAUCGUAUCAAGAAUUCAAGGAUGUGAUUUUUCAAAAGCACUUUAAUAACUCUGUAGUACAGAAUCAGCUCAGUGGCAAUUCUGAUUCUGUUAUUGAAGCCCUGUGUUGAGUUACAGUGUCCAUUGCUACUAAAAGACCAGUGGCAGCAAACAAGGAAAAGGUGAGAGCCUGUGAAUGAACUGAGCUCUGGACAUCUUGUCUUGCUUUCUCUUUGCAAAUUCAAUUGUGUGUUUUAAUUAUUACUGAGAUAUACAUGUGGCUAUGGAGAAAGCAGAUGCCUAUUCAGUCAAGCAAAUGAAGUAUAUUGACAAAGACAAUAGUUGGAAGGAGCAGCUAACAGUAGUAGAAGGAUCUUUACCCAUUCAGAAGAUGGGGAAGGUAUUUAUUCCCCUGGUCUGCUUUAGCAUUAGCUUUAGCAUCUCAUUUAAGUGCUCUGACUCAAUGCACAAGAGUUGACUGCCUCUCUUCAUUGACUAGGCAGGGAACUCAGGCCUUUCACUUUGAUCUGUUGAAUCAUUCCUAAGCUAGAUACCUGGCAUGGGCAUGCAUAUAUAGCAUGAAAACCUGCCAGGAUGUAUAUUUUUAUCAGUGAGGCCAUGGUACAAAUUUGGAACAAAUACAUACAAAUCCCUAAAUGAAGAUUGGAUACUUUUAAAAACAUCUUCCAGAAAGUGUCAAGGAACCCUCCAGUGAAAUCCUAUGGGGUUGUGUCAUACCAGUAGUCAUAGUGGAAGAAGAAAAUGGUCCCUUUGGCCUUAGAAUGAAUAUGAAAAUCACUGUAAGCUGCUCACAAGUCCCUUAAGUUCACUCAUUCCAGACCAUGGGGAGCAGAAUGCAGCAUGUUCAUGCUGUGUCUUGGCUCCAUCAUGACAGAGAAAUUUAGGAAAAUAAAAGCAAUCAAGAAUUUAUUAACCCCUUGGUCUCAGUUUUAUUCUCCCUCCCUUUUUAUACUGUAGACACACAUAACAUUUUAAUGGACUCAAUUAUAAGUAUGAUAGGAUGAGUUAAUAGGAUUUAUAUGCUUUGUAUAUACUUCAUAAAUUCUGAAGCACUAAAAUGUAUUGGAGUUAUAGAUAAAUUAUAUGAAGAAGGUAGUGAAUUGAAUAAUAGAAAGAAUAAUAGGAAAACAGUAAUUGAAAAACCUAUAAACUCCAUCAAUGCGUGCCCUUCCUUUCUUAAUUUGUAAUAAUAAUGUAGUGGAUAAAUCAAUCAAGGAUAUUACCACAAUAGGUGACUUAAAAUGUUCUCUUCUAACUAGAUUUCUUGUGAGUUCAUUCUAAUUCCGCACACUGAGUGAAUUAAGGAUGGAGUCAGACAGUGUUCUGUAUUGAGCCGAGCUGCUCUGGAGUGGGGCCGAAUUAGUGUAAUUGGGAGCAGAAUUUGGCCUUCAGCUCUCACUCACUGUGCAGGGAAGGAGAGGGGAGAUAGACACUGCCCAGAUUUGCCUACAGUGCUAUAACUCAAGGCUUGCGCAGAAUGAAACCCCGAACCCAAGUGCCUCAGCUACAUCCAUAAUGCAUAAGCUGCUAAGCGUUAUGAAGAGUGCUCUGCUUGUUGGGUAGCUGCAGAAUAACAUGGCUAACAGAUGUUGUGCUUCUAAAGCAGUUGAACUCCUGAGUGUGCUUUUAUCUUCUGAUCUGCAGCGCACUGUGGCUCCCCCACUAGUGCAUACACAAGGCAGACAGAUUAGCGUUAAUUAGAGAGAGACUUUGCUCAUUUUUCAUUGCCAGUUUCAAUUUUGGGGAAGUUAAUGUUUCUCUCCUUUACAAUUUCAAAUAAGGGCAAUUUAGUAUAUGCAAGUGUUUGCAGUUUUAGGCAUUAAUCGGUCUUGCUUCUGCUUAAAUUGUCAGGCAUAGGUCUGGAUGUCAAGCACUGAACUGGAUGAAGGCUGGUGAAGAGGAGCAAGGAGAGCAGGGUCAGGCCCUGGCCAUGCUUGGGGCCAUCUGUAGGAUGGGGCUCUUAGGGGGCAAGCAGGAGGAGCUAAGGAGCUGUGCCAUUUUCUCACGUGGGUUAGUGAGGAGAAAUGUUAAUUGAGUAUUCCUUCUAGGACAUUACAGAGCUUGAUGAAAGCAUUUUGCAGUGCCUCUUGUAAUGAAAGAGGAAAGGGAGCUUUCUCCACCUUCUGACCCCCCUCCCUGAAGCACCAAUGCAAAGGAGGAUUUAUUGCUUCAUUAGCAGCGUGAUCAUGCUUUACAGCGAGUAUUAAAAUAUUGGCUUACUGGGUUAUUUAGGAAAUAACUCUUCCCGCAGUUAUCCCCUCUCCCACUGCCACCACACCCCCACUUCAUGUCAUAUGUUUUUGUCACUUACCCAUCAGGUUCAAAAUAUCGUUAAUUCCCUUUUUACAGUAAUAGGACACUGGCAACAGAACAAAUAUUUUUAGGUUGAGAGUAUGCUACAGAACUGUAAUGUGGGCAGAGUAAAUUGAAAUCCAAGCAAAACCAAAUUCCAAUCGUUCUUCAGAUUCCCAGGCAGACUGAGACAUCUUUUGCAGUUCAUUGAUCUUUUAACUUGGGCUUAGACAUCAUUCCCAGACAAAGGGAGCAAGUUGCCAGGUGGUGAAGGCUAUGCCCUCUGUUCUGGUUGGUUCCUUUCUUUCCUCAACUGAGUAUUUCAUGUUGUGAGAAUAUGGCAGAGCCUCUACUAUGCCUGGGUUAACCUAACCCUGCUAUUUAGCGCUGUACAAUGGUGUUUUAUCAGAUGACGUAAAUUUGCUUUAUCUGAUACCUCCUUGAAUAUGUCAGUGGUAGAAAACAAUGUUUCAAAGCAGUAAUUCUGGUAGUCUCAUGAGUGUUGCUUUCUUCUGUCAUUAAUUUCAAUUAUGUUGUGUUAGAUUUCCAGAGCAGCUGUCCAGCAAUGAGGCUCUGUAGGCCACCAUGCCUUGGCACUUGAAAUUGUAGUUUUGUUUUGAAAAGUGAAUUUUUUUAUUCGGUAUAUAUACUGCCUAUGUGCUUUUGAGUCUUAUUUGCUUACUUUCCUGAUACAAACACAUUUUUACUACUGAUACCAUCACAGUGCCAAUAUACCUCCAAGCUGCAGGGUGACCUGUAAUCUGCUCUGUCUCAUGUAGCCUCAUGAAAAUUGUCAGCGGUGCUUUAAUUGUUGAUGAUAUUUUGGCCCAAAUGCUUGGAAAGGACUCAGCUUGGCAUCCAUCCACAAAAACAAACAAACAAACAAAAAAACCCCACACAACUGUGACAGUAUAUUUUUAAUGUGCUAGGAGGCAAUUCACUACUUGGUACUGACUGGUUUUGUCACGAGUGAACAGUCUUUGAUGCUACCAGAGCAGCAGGCUGAAAAGCCAGGGUUCAGGACACUUCUUUGGUGAACCUCAGGGGUAUUCAGUGGAUGCAUAUGCUCACUCUCUGAAGUGGCUUCAGAGAGAACAUCCUUGCAGGCUUUCUCCAUUUGUAUGAGCUUUCGUUUUACUGAAUACUCCAUGUCACCUACCUGUUUCUAUUUUUUUUCUCUUGAACUCUUAGGGCUGCUCUGCACACACAGUGUCUUAUUAGCAAAAGACAUGUUUGUUUUGGAUCAGUAAAUGAUAGUUGCUUUGGCUCUGUAGUAAUAACUGGAAUUAUUUUUAGCAUUAAGCCAGGCUAAUUUGACAGUGAUAUUGCAGUUUAACAAAUUAACACUUCAAUUUGUCAUUUCUACCAUCUCUUAGGGAAGGGGUCUUUCUGAAGGUUACUACAAUUAGCAGUGGCAGCAGGCUCCAACAUCAUCAUUAGCAACAGUUCCUGACUUGUUAUGACUCUGAAAUGGUGCAGGCAUCAUUAAUGGCACAUGGAAAGCCUUUCUGGACGUGUUCUUGUGUGACCUGAUCUAGGUGUUUCUGCUUUGGCAGAGGGAUUGGACUAGAUGAUAUUUGAGGCCCCUUCCAAACCCUGACAUUCUGUAAUUCUGUGAUUUUUGACAGUAUGGAAACAUCUGAGCUAUGACCGCACAUGCCAGAAUGCAAAACAGCACCUCAGAACUCUUCUGCUACUUCUAUUCUUACUGAAGAUGAGUACUAUUCUCAGCUGUAUUUCACCACUGGUAACUCUAUUACUAUCUCUUGCUUUGCUUUUUAGGACAUCUUUUUUGCAUCUAGGUCGCUAUACUAAGAAAUAAGAUGUGCUAAAGCCAAUUUGCUGACUUGGAAGCCAACGGUUGUGUCAGUUUCUGCCACAGUAUUAAACUUGCUUUUCCAUCAAAGCCUGGCAACCCGAUUCAAACAGCCUGUUGGGAACAUGGGGUCAGGCAGUAUGAUAAUACACAGUGUGGGCAAUGACGUGCAAAUGCUGGAGCCCAUGACCUGGUCCUGUUUAGCUUACCAGCAUAGCUAUAGACCUUGAGGGCAAAUAAUUUACGUGUCUCUAAUAUCUUGAUCUGUAUCUGGUAUAUCUCAAGAGAGCCCUUCGCUUUGAACACCAGACAGAAAACUUGAGGGCCCACUUGACUGUUGCAGUGGCCUAUACAUUGAGUUUCCUCACUGAAGACUGAUGAUACAUCUCUGAUGUGUGACCACAUUUGGAGAACCCAGAUCUCAACAGUACAGCUGGUCAAAGCUUUCUCAUUCAUGCCUUAUGCCAUCCAUCUUAUUAUUGGCACUGGCUUUCGUACAGCCCUCUAUUUUUACUAAGAGAGCUGCAUUACUACAUUAUCAAGCAUUUCAGAUACAGUCAGGAGUGGAGCUGGAGCUGAUCUGUCUCACUGCAGCGGCUCAGAAGAUGGACCAGCCUGGCUAUAGCUUUUCCAUUCUUCCCCUAUUUCUUGCUCAUGAUAUGGUGACUGCUGUUUAAGUGCUUUGGGGAAGUUCCAAAAAAUCCUCCAAGAUCUGCAUAGAGGAGUAUAAAAUCCAAGCAAAUUUUUUCCCUUUGUCCCUUCCGUUUCCACAUCAAAGCUCCCUGCAGUGGGAGGGCAUCCAAAUCUCUCAGUAUCCUUAUGGGAAAUGAUGAAAAGGUUCCACAGGGCAUACCUCAUGGUACAGGAUGCAGAGUCCUGUUCCAGGUAAGUGCACAUGAGAUUGAGUUUGUAGGAGCUGUCUGCUGCUUUGACAACAGCAGGGAGGCAGAUACAUUCAGGCCCUGGCAACACCGUGGUCCUUAGGCUAUGCUAGUUUAUCUCUGCCUCACUUCUUCAGCUGUAAAAGUGUGAGGGUUGGUUGGUCUGGGGCUGAUCAUGGGACAGCAGAUGAGCAGGGCCCAAGAUGAAUGCUAGUGGGGGCCUGCAGGAUGCGUUUAGUCAAAACACAUUUGAUUAUCACCGUGUUGUCAUUUUUGUUGUUUCUAUGGUUGAGAAUAAUUGGCUUUAAUUUAAGAGGGCCCUGAGCACUAGCUUAUGAUCAAGAAUCAGGAAACUCAUUUGAUUUUUUUGUAUUUUGUUAAAAUGGAUUUUCUCCAGCUAACCAUAUCCUGUAGCAGCACAGUUCUAUUUCCUAGCAGUACAAAACUUUGGAAGGUAAAGUUCACCCACUGGACAAGAUAAUCAUCUCAUUUUUAGUGGCAUAAAAGUGUCCAUAGAUAAUGAUAAUUAAUAUUUAGCUGAAGACGUGCUAUAUCAGGUCUCAGAAUAACUUUAAUGUAAAGGAUGAUGUCAGAUUUUGGCCAACCAGAAGUAAAGUACCUGUUGCAGGAAUGAAAACAAAUCAGUGUCAGCAUGUCAUCAGUCACAAUGUGCAUUUUGCUCUUCCUUUUCGUAAUCUUUCUUUAAAUGGACUUUUGGUUUCUGAAACUAUUUCUCAUAGGAUAAAUGGUAUGAUGCGAUUAAGGCAUUAACUAUAAGACAAACCUUCCAGUAGUAAUGCCUUCUAUUUAUUUUCAUGGAAAUUACAACAGAUACAAUGAGCAUAGUAACUCUGUUUG
rnacentral:lncRNA from 1 species